GAACUUGCUUGACCGCUUUCGGUAUCGGAAUGUUUUGGAUUGCUCUAAUCUUUUCAGGGUCGGUCUUAAGUAUACCGCCACCAACGAUAUACCCCAGGUGGAUACCUCGCUUAGGAUUUGGAGGUGCGAAUCAAAAUCUGGCGCAAUGAUCAGCAAAUCAUCAAGAUAUAUGAAAACGUUUCCUUUAAGUUUCUGAGGAAUUACGCGGUCCAUUAAUCGGCACAAACGCUGCGCGGCGUUGCAUAAACCGAACGGCAUUGUUACAAACUGAUACAGGGGCCGUCCAGGUACCGUGAACGCAGUGUAUGGUUUGCAUUUGUCCUCCAACUCAAUCUGCCAAAAGGCGAAUUUAAGAUCAACACUGCUUAUAAAGUGGGUGUCGUCGAGGCGGCUGAGUAUGCCUUCGAUGUUCUGCAGCGGGUAGGCGUCGUUCACGGUUACAGCAUUCAGUUUGCGCGCGUCAAGGCAGAAGCGAUUUUUACCCGGUUUACGAACAAUUGUCGUGCGGUUACUCCACGGGCUCUCGCUUUCCUCGAUCACACCUAAUUCCAACAUUUUAUCUACUUCUUCGUAAACGAUCGCUUGCAUUGCCGGGGUCAAAGGGUAGUGGCGGUCUUUUAUUGGCACCGCCUCGUCGACCAGCUUGAUGGAAUGCUUUUCAAGGUGAGUGCGUCCUAACCCGUGUUCUUCAUAAGUUUUGAAGCCGCUGACCACCUGCUGUAGACGUUGUUUUUGUUCCGCCGAAAGAAUAUGCAGGACAUGCCGCUCGUUCUUAUCCUCUUCGGACACCAAAUCCCGCUCUAAUUUGCUGAAGUUGAUUUCAUCUAUUGAUAUCAGAUCUGGAGCUAACUGGAAUGCGCGCCAGAAGUCCACCCCUAAGUAGAUAUUUUGUUCAAGGUAAGGUGAGUUUGCCUAACACAUUGUGUGAGCGUCCUCCAGCCGUUUUUACACUCGAAACGUACCGUUCAAUUGAGGCGUCUAGUUCUUCUAUGAACUCCCUACAGCCACGGCCCAGAAUGCUUACCGAUGCGCCAGUAUCUAACAAUCCGCGUGUACGAAUUCCCUGAAUUUCGAUGUCGGCAUAAACGCGGGGAUCCGCUUGAUCUGCGCUCUUUACCGACGACACAACCUUUCGGCGUAGCAGCUUACGUUGUCGAAACCUAUCACGCGCCUUUUGAACUUUCCGCGGAACCCUUCGGCGUCCCAUCAAGGCGCUGUCGGCGAAAAUGCGUUGGCGUGCUUCCAAAUACUUCCUCAUUCUUUCUUCGUAGGAUGGCAUACUCACGGUCUUGGGCAAAUAUUUCUUUGUAUUAUUUUUGAUUUUAUCGAAAAUGCUAAUAUUUGUUGCACUUCCAGGUAGUUUUGCGUCGCGACUUAGCCCGUCGGCUGUUGGUGUGUUGGUCGAGGCAUCUACUGGUGCGGGGUUUGUGUGGAGCGCGAUUCCCCCGUCGUAAUGGCGUUCCGUAAGGCGUUUCCCGCUGGGUUGCAUACCGGACAUUUCGGUGUUAUGACAUCUAACUUCCCACAUUUGAAGCAAAAUAUUCGGCGCUGCAUGGACAUGCAAUCGGUGAAGAAAUGGCCUUCCACACCACAAUUCCAACACGAUACCUUGCUGCGCCCAGCUGGCUGUCUAGCCGCGCGUUGGUGGCGUAUUUCCUCCACGGUGACUUGACCCUCAUCACCGGGAGAGAAAUGUUCUUCGUCUUCGAUCGACAUGAUUUCAUUGACGUGUUGUGAGCGUGGAACAAAGCCACUUGUUAGCGUGCGAUCCCUACGCGGAAAACACCGUUCCACUUCCUUACAUUCCAACCGUAGCUGCUCGAGUGAAUACGCGGCAAUGGGAUAUACUAUCUUAGCCAACGAUUCGCGCAAAUUCCCUUUCACUAAUCGGAUAAUCUCGUACUCCGGAAUUGGAUUUCUAAGUCGCGAGCGCAAUGUACCCACCACGUGAAAAUACUCCUCUAUGGAUUCACCAGGUCUUUGCUUCCGCUCCGUCAAUUCCCUCAGAAGCUCGAAGUCGGUGUGUUGUGAUGCGAAUUGGCGUCGAAGUGCGAAUUGCAAGCUAGGCCAAUCCACUUUACCAUGCGACUUAAUAUAGAGCCAAUACCAUUCACGCGCCUCCCCACUCAACAGCCUAUGGAAGUCGCGUAGAAUUUCUCCCCAUGAACACGCAUAUUGUUCCUUCAGAUAUUCUAACCGAAACAGAAAAUCUUCAACUGACAUUGAACCUCGGUUACCUUGAUAAUUUAUCCCCCAUUUUUCUAUGUUAAUAUCCGAUCGACUAUCAUCUUUAUAAUUUUCUUUUACAGACCUAGGACGACCGCUUCCAGAGGGAACUGCCGCGAUUGCUGCAUCUAGUGUUGGUGGUUGGCGAACUGGUGGUGGAUCGUGGUAAGCCAGUGCAUAUGUAGCUGAAUGUGACCUUGCAACGUAGUUGUUUCUGUUUGCGGCUUCUGCGGUGUUAUUACUAACCUUAUCACUCCUAGGUGCGACGCUAUCUGAACGUCUCGACUCCAAGGAUUCGAUGCUGGUAUUGUGUUUCCUCUUUUUGCUCAUUCGGUUGCGCGCCCUAUUAUCGAAACCUGACGCGCCUGCCCGUGCACCUGGGCCUCGUGCUGUUCUAAUUAGCUCCUGCAUAUUCUCGCGCAUUUCGCUCAUCAGGCACUUUUGUGCUUCCGCAACCAUUUCUUUUAGAACCGGUGCUAUUUCAUCUCGGAUAUCACGAGCCUUGGUUGAAUUGCUUAUGGGAAGCCGGUUGGUCCCGCCGUAAGUAGUUGGAGGAGGGUGGGGAAAAGUCCAGGGGAGUGGUUGUGGUAGCGUUAAGGUUAUUGAUUGGGACUCAGUCUGUUUGGGAACCGCCCCGGUGUUUUUAGUUGCACCUGAUGCAUUGUUUGCAACUUCCUGCACUGAGUCACUACCAGUUGACCUAGCGUUAUUAUUGCCCCCUAUGCGAUCUGAUAGGUCUAUGAAGGCAGGGUCGUUUGUGCUUUGCUCCUUUUGUGGAGGCACGUUCCCUGGUGGAUGCAUAUUAGCUUUUUUUGUGUUCGCUCGGGUAUUGUAAGCAAUUUGAGUGCGUGUCAUUCAAAUAUAUGUACAAAUAUAUAAAAAAAUAUUAUUUACGACGAAGAGAAUUAAAAAUUAUUCUUGGAUCGAUAUUGACUUAUGCGAUUUCAUAAAAACGGGGGAGGGCUAGAUGACGUUCCGGGGUUGAGGAUCGGUUGACCAAAUCCUUUUCGGGGAGUGAUUGGAGCGCUGAUCGUCGUUCCUGCGAGCAACAAUAUGCCAGUUCGGUGCAAAUAAUAAAAAAAUCUAAGUUAAGAAAUAUUCAGAAUCAAUAUGGUUAUGCAUCGUUACUGAGAGUUAGUUGCGGUCAUAACGUACUUUUAAACUUCAAAGCAGCUUAAUUACUUCAUGCACCUAUUAGGACUUUGAAUAAAAGCAAAAAAAAUUUACAUCCUGAAACUACUUUCCAAACAAAAAAAAUACAAAGAACCAUACAAAAAAUGCAUUGUGGAUGGAGAUGCAAAUAGUUUGGACUAUUCAUAUCCAGCUAUGCCAUCUUAGGGUUAUUGCCGGGGUCUGGUCAUCCCACAACCCUCUUAAUACAGAUGCGGUUGAACUUGCGCACUAAUGCUGAAAGCAAGCCAUCUCUUUAGGAGGAGAAUGCAGUCCAACCGGACCCUUUUAUUCGAACGAUAUAACAAAAAAAAUACUUUUAUAGGCUGAAAUAAAUUUAUAUACGAACUUUGUAUGCAUGUACAUAUGUAUGUGUACCUAUGUUCGAUAUGCGUUUUCAUUGCGCUGCUUAGGGCGAGGCCCACAGCGUUAUUUCCCAAAAUACUUAAAUUCGCAGACGCCAAUUUCAACCUAUGGCGCUAGUGUUAUUUCCGGUGGUUUUUGUUUGGGCGCCAUUUUAUCUUUGUCGCGUACACGUGUCGCCCAUUUUCAGACCACCAUUGUG